rnacentral:rRNA from 1 species
UACGGAGGAUGCAAGCGUUGUCCGGAUUUACUGGGUGUAAAGGGCGAGUAGGCGGCUUGGCAAGUCAGGUGUGAAAUCCAUGGGCUCAUCCCAUGAACUGCACUUGAAACUGUCGAGCUUGAGUGAUGGAGAGGCAGGCGGAAUUCCCGGUGUAGCGGUGGAAUGCGUAGAUAUCGGGAGGAACACCAGUGGCGAAGGCGGCCUGCUGGACAUUAACUGACGCUGAGGAGCGAAAGCGUGGGGAGCAAAC